rnacentral:misc_RNA from 1 species
GGUCUGUUUAGCAUUUUGUUUAAAUAACCAGUUCAGUGCAGAUUACAUUGUUAUGGCAUUUAAAAUCCAAGAAACCACAACAAUCCACAUCCAGUAAUUCCAUAUGUGUGACAAGAUCUCCAAGCUUGGAACAAAAAAGGCACUUCUUUUGUUUCUGAAUGAAUUUUAAGGAAUAAUUAUUAGUUUAUCAAACAAGUUUUUCUUUUGCACCUAUACAAUGAGCUGUCAGAAAGGAAAUUUGGAAAUAAACAUCUCAGCAGAAAAGGGCUUCAUGGCAAUUCGUCCACAAAACGUAACUGAAAGCUGCCAAGAUGUUGUCCUCUCCAUGGUUAUCGCAUAUCAUUCUCAUGUGAUUUUUCUUUACAAUAUUUGAGAGGUUGCAUGAAAAGAUAAGAAGGGUCGUGAUACAAAAAGAAUACAUACUAUGAUGUCACCUCUGCUUUGAAUCUCCUAGCAAGCACCCAACACUGCUGUGGCUCGGUAGCAUUUGCAGACAGUUCUGCAACAAAAGAAUUCUCUAGUGUGUCCCUUUCUGGUGUUAUGUAAAUGAGAAUCUUGAGAAAAGAGAGAGUGUGGAUCCAGAAGAAUCACUCGCAGGACUUGGUGGAACAUCAUUAGAUGCAUGGUAAGCCUGUUGCUAUUUCACCACCUCUUCGGGACUGAAUUGCAGGAGCAUUGCAACAGCAGGCAAUAGUGCCUCCACUUCCCCUGUUUCAAUUAGCUUUCAAUAUGGCAUUUUUCAGAUACGUCAUAUCUACCCCCUCCCUUUUCUGUGUUCUUUCCACGUUGCGUAGCUCAGCCUUCAACAUGGCUUCCUGUUGGCUGCGAAGACGAUUUUCCCGUUCAAGUUCCUCAAUUUCCUCUUGAAGUGCCAAAAUAUGCCGCUGUGAUUGUGCCAGUUCCUCCUCUCUCUGCGCUUGUUGCCUUGCCAAGAGCAGAAUUUGCUGUUCUGCAGCAGAGGCGCUUAAAUUUGGUGCAUCCUGUUUUUUCAUGGCUGUGAUAUUAUUUUCAUUUUGAUUAUCUUGAGGCCUUGAUUCCAGAGAGGAGCGAAGAUUCUUAUUAUCAUCAACAAGUUUAGAGAUUUCUUUAUCUUUCUCCCCAAUCAUUCUAUCAGCAAGGCCACAAAAUGAGUCAUGCUCUUCCUUCAGUUUUUUAUACCGUAGUUUGAACUCUUCUAAUUCCUUUCGUAUAUCUUGCCCAGAAGUUGCUUCCUUUUCUGCCUUCAAUGCCUCAAAUCUCAAUUGCCACGAGUCUUCCAAAUUUUUAAGGUUUGUUUCCCAUGCUUCUUUCUCUAAUUGGUAGCGAGCAUUUGCAGAAUCUAGUUUCAUUUCUACACUCUUGAUCUGACGCUUGGAAUCGCUAAGAGCUGCAUCUCUCUCAGCAAGUUCUUUGUCAUGAUUAGCCAAUGCAUCCUGAAGAUGCCGGAGAGCCUUAUCCCUUUCUGAAGAUACCAAUGACAAUUCUCUUUCUGCCUCUUUUAUAGCUUCCUCCAAAGCUCUAAGUUGUUCAGAGUCAUUAGCUGCGGCUAGCUCAACAUCCUUUUUCUGAAGUAGUGCAUGAGCACGAACCUUAUAUGAGGAAAAUUCACUUUCAAGGUGGUUGAUCUCCUCUUUGGCAGCCAACAGUUCACCAUCCUUUUUGUUUAGCAUUUCUCAUUUUAGCUGCCUCAGUUUCAGCACGUAUGCAGUUGCUCUCAACAAUUUCAAGUUUCAUUUUGAGUGCCCGGGAGGCAGAUUCCCAGCUCUCUUUUUCCUUCUCCUGAAAGCAAAACACACUAUGGGAAUAAAACCCAAAAUAUAUGUAGAUACACUAGCUAAGCACAAAAUAAUACACAUGGCAACAAAUUGUCCUUUAUAUUCUGAAGGAAUAACAAAAAAGAAAAGCAUAAAAGUGAAUUUGAGAAGAAGUAACGGAUGAUAUUUUCAAAAAGAAAAGAAUUAUUUAUUGAUUGUUAGCCAUCAUUCCUUCCAACGAAGAUUUUAUUUUCUUCUAGAUAAGUAUUGUUAUUAUCGGGAUUUGGGCCUGGGGCAUCUCCAUGUUGCAGUAGGUGGUCAAUUAAGAUUAAUGGUGCCUGGCUAAUAUCCUCAGUUCUCACCAUGAUGCCAAGCUCCAAUGAUGAUUUAAGCUAGUCAAUUUGAAAGCAUAAUCUCAUAGAUGCAUCAGAGCAAUACAAGAAAAAAUACAGAAUGGCAAUCAAACAACUCACAGUUAAGUAACCAAGACUAGGGAAAACUUUUGACAAUUCACAACAUAAAGCCCGUUAUUUACUAGAGCAUGAAACAUUUUGUGGAACCUAUUACUCCAUGAAGGUAUUCAAUUAUUCAGUCUAAAUAUUUAACUCAUACAUGCUCCUGUUUUUGGUGAGCAAGCUCUCCUUUUACACUUUCCAAAGCAGCUCUAAGCCGAGCUGCUUCACCACUUGAAGCAGCAUCCAUCUCCGCAAUUCUAGAUUCUUUGUCUGCAAUCAGCACCUGCAGUGAAGAUAUAGUUUCAGUAGCUUUAACCCUAUCAGCUAAAGCAUCAGCGAGUUGGCCUUCCAAAUUCUCUAUAUUCUUCUGAUGUUUAGCAGAGAGCUCAGCUAUUGAAGCUUGCCUUUUCUCUUCUGCAGAUUGUAAUAAACUUCUCAUGUCUUCCAACAUCUGAUCUUUCUCCAAAAGUGUCUGUUGUAAUGCCUCAAGAGCAUUCUCUUUGGGUUGAAAUGAUUGGCGCAACUCCUCAAUAUUGUCACGGAGUUUAUUGUUUGCACUUCGUAAUUGUUGCCUCUCAGCAUCCAUUGCUUUCAAUGCAUCAUUUGCUUGUUGCCUCGUGCGCUCUAGCUCUUGUUGCAGUGUUGACUGUUGUGAUGAUGCUCGCUCAGCAGUUUCAUUUAUCUCGCGAAAGCGGGCUUCAAGAUCAUCCUUUUCCUUCUGAACUUCUUGAAUACGUUGUUUUGCUCUUUUAUGAAGCCUUUGAAAUUUGGAAUCAAGUUCAGAGUACUUCUCUUCACGUUCUUUUAUUUCUUGAUCUAACUUCUGUUGAGCUACCCAAAGAAACCAUGCCAUGUAACAUGUAUUCAGAAUUUUGACACAAUAAUGAAUAAAAGGAUAGUGCAAUGAUUCCUCAAACUAUGUUAAUGUGAACACUAAAGGCCUGUUUGGCAUUACUGUUAAAACUGCUGUUGAAAAAAUCAUUUUUUUAAAUAUACUAGUUAGAGAGUGUUAAAAAAUAAUUAAAAAUUAAAUUUGAUCAGUUUUAGUCAUAAGAACACUAAAAUAACAAAACAGUUUUUUCCAAACUGCUUUUUUCAACGACAUCUAAAAUGACGCUUUUUCUGAAAAGCACUUUUUGUGUCCAGAACCUCAAUGCCAAACAGGGCUUUAGCAUUUGAGUUGUACGUUACAAAAAUAACUACAAAAGGACAAAACAUACAGCUUUCUUUGAGGCUCAAUCUUCCAUUUAACCAAUUGAUAGCUCCCAAAUCUCUCAGGAAACUGCAAUCUAUGAUCCCGUAACUGUAGAAUUAUGUUCAUUGCUGUGGCAUUGGAAAUAUAAUCAGCAGACUCGGCAGGAAAGAUGCCCCAUCUAACAUGGUAAUUAUUUCCUUCUGAGGUGAAAUUUAACAUAUGAACCUGCAAAUUAUCAACUUCCAACUCAUGGGCAAUGAACUCUGCUACUUCAGAUAAGUUGGGCUUCAUGUAUGAGUUGUUAACACUAAUCAACAUAUCAAAUGUUAUAAUUCUAAUUCGAAGUUCACCUGGAACAAAAUCUGGAGGCAGUACACUCGGGGCUUUAGCAGGAGGCAUUGCUUCACUUUUGUUACUACUAGGCAGAACUACAGGAACAGGAACAGGAACAGGCACCCCAGGAACUUGCAGUCUCUUCCAUAGUUCAGAACAAUUAGUUUUCCAAAAACCAAUCUUAUCAUUCUCCCGGUCAUAAGUCACAAGAGUAUUCCGUACAAUAAUUCCUCCUAAAAGAGUAGUUGGAUCCUUCCCAUUCUGGAAAAUUCCCAGGCAAUAUGCACCACUGACCUUUGUAUGCCGGAACAAGUAAUUCUCUGGAGACAGGGAUAACUUUUGACCAUUGCCAAAUACCAUAUUAACCUCAGGAAAAAUUUUUGAUAGUUGAGAAACAUCCCUUCCAGCACCAGCAAAACAAAUAUCAUUGUAAUUUGGAUCAGGGCCAUGGAUCUGUUUAAGGAAUUGGACUUCCUUCAUAAUAGCAUGCUUGAAUGCAAGAAAAGCUUCUUCUGGAAGGUACGCAUAUGUAGUUCCACUGUCCAAAACUGUUCCAUGCUUUCCAUCAAAGACUCCUGGGUUUAGCUUCAAUCGCUUCCCAGCCACAAGUAGUUCCUUCAGCUUAAUAUUGUAAUAUGGACUACGGUAAGGGUCUGAUUGGGUAAAAACCAUAUCAGGGGGUGAAGAAAUCCUACCAAGAACCAUUGCCCCACCGCCCACAUCCAUCCCACCAUAACAUAAAGAAAAUGAGUCACUAAUAACAUCCUUUUCAACAAGCUGGUCUACAACACUGAGCCGACCACGACCCAACCCCAUUAUUCCAUCAGCACGUUGGCUGAAAAGGUCACCAGUUUCGACAUUUUCACAGCCAAAAACAGCGUGCUUAGGUGUGAGCUCACUUUCAUUUCCAAAAGAAAUAACAUCCUCAGCAAGCACACCACUGCUAGAACUCAUCUCAGCAUAC